rnacentral:lncRNA from 1 species
CUCCAGUGGAAGUCAUGUUUGUGUAAUUAAUUUUCCUAGCAUCCGAGGAAAGAGACAGGCAGUCCUGUGGUCCGCCCUGCCCUGCUGCUCCCCAAACACUGAGAGAACGCUGCGCUUCGCUCUCGCCGAGUGACUGGUGCGCAGGGAUGGCUUUUGUUCCCAUGCAGUUCCUGUGCUUGGGACCUUUAUUUCUCAAUUACUGCAGAUGGAAAGAAAGGCUUCGAGGCUGUCUUUGUAAGAGUGGGUUUCUAAGUCAGUGGUGACGAUUUGCUGGGCUGGGGUGAUGAUCAGAGGGUAAAGUACUUACUGUUCCUGAAGACCUGCGUUCAGUUUCCAGCAGUCACAGACACACAGAGAACAGCACGUCAGUAGCCCCGGUGCUAGGCAAAGGAGAGAGUGGAUCCCAGAGACUUGCUAGCCAGCCGGUUCAAUGAAACAGGAGAGCUCCAGGCUCAGCGACACAUCCUGUCUUAAAAGAUGUAAGUUGGCAAGUGAUGGAAGACCCGUGAAGUGGCCUGCACACAUGCAAGCAUGGAUGUGUACCCCCUCACCCCACACAAGACAGCAAACCAUGUUGAAUGAUGCCGUUCCUUAGCAUGCCUCCUGCUCCUUCAACAACAUGCAUGAUUUUUGCUGCGGAAGCCAUCCUUUAGUAGGAGAGCGUCAUCUGGACAUAAACUCGCCUGUUUUUAUUUAAUUUGGAUUUUUGAGACAGAGUUUCUCUGUGUAGGCCUAAUGAUCCUGGAACCCACUCUGUAGACCAGGCUAGCCUUGAACUGUCCACUGUGGAGUAAAAAACUGGGUUCUCAUGUCGGCUUGGGGCUAGGGCCGCUGGGCGAGUUGGACACAGGAAGUUUGACUGUGCUGCAGACCCCACGGAACAGCCGGGCAGGCAUUGGACUGUGAGAAGCCAUGGGAUCACGCUUCGGGGGUGAGGAAAAGGCGCAGUCUGGGGUCCCCAUGGAACUGCAGGAGUCAGGCUCUGACUCUCGGGCACCACAGACUGCUUGGCACCGCGGACGAGCUGGUUUUGGGUCCUUGAGCCACAUGGAGGCCAGGGAUGACAGGUUCUCACUCUUGGACAUCUCAGAUGCCACUGUAAGUCUCAGAAGAAUUGAGAGCGGGUGGGGAUCCGGGGUAUACUCUGGCCUGGGGCCAAAGGGAAAAGGGCAGGGAGGAGAGAACUCUGGCAGAUUACCGCAGGACAAGAGAGUCUGGGUAGCUAAGGCGACUUGGAUUGACUCCAGCAGGAGGUUAG